CAGCCGCCGCGGGAAUACGGAGGGGGCUAGCGUUGUUCGGAAUUACUGGGCGUAAAGCGCACGUAGGCGGCUUGGUAAGUUAGAGGUGAAAGCCCGGAGCUCAACUCCGGAAUUGUCUUUAAGACUGCCGAGCUAGCAGGUGAGAGAGGUAAGUGGAAUUCCGAGUGUAGAGGUGAAAUUCGUAGAUAUUCGGAAGAACACCAGUGGCGAAGGCGGCUUACUGGCUCAUACUGGACGCUGAGGUGCGAAAGCGUGGGGAGCAAACAGGAUUAGAUACCCCUGUAGUCCCUGUCUCUUAUAC
rnacentral:rRNA from 1 species